GCUAAAAUAGCAAAGAGGUAAAUGCAAUAGAUUUAGGAUUUAUUACCAAAGGUUCAAUUCCUUUUUUUAGUU
rnacentral:tRNA from 1 species